GUGUGCCUUUGAUGUUCAUGUUUAAUUUAUGGAGAAACUCUGACCUAAUUUUAUCUCUCAAGAUCAGCCCUUAAAAUCUCACAUGCCCACCUCUUCUGCAACAGUCCCUGUCCCUAGAGGACUUGAAUAGUUUUCAUUCUGGCCUCCUGUCUCAUGAGUGCAGUUUAUUUUGAUUGUCAUCUUCUCCUGGAUAUAAAGAAAUCCUGGUGAUUUUUAUUUUCCACCUCAAUUUUCAUGAUCACCAUUAUUCUACUUAAACAAAGGCUUCAAAAUGGUGAGAAGAUAAUGAGAAAAGGAAAGAAUCUAUGGAUAAGAAGUAAGGAGAAAAUCGUUGACAAUUGUCAAAAUCUUGCCUCAUUACUUCUCCAGGAAUGAUGUCUAUCCUUUUCUUCAAACACAUUCUGUAUUCUAGGAAUUCUGAAUUAUUUUGGAUUAGCCAAACUCACUAUAAACUCUACUAUAAAUAGGAAACCCUGCCAUGUUGAAAGGAAUACAACCCAACAUGGAGUAGAAACAAGAAAUCAAGAUAUACACUCUAGGACAAGGAGCAAUAAGAAUUUGACUUAAAAUGGUUAUUUAGCAUGUAUUAGAGUUGCAACUGGAUUUUAUGUAGUUAUGAGGGAACCCUGAAAAAAGUACCAUUGAACAGAAAUGAGAUUUGGUUUCAGAACUUCAGCCCAAAUGCUAUUAAAUCUUUUGCAUUUCUUGAACUAUACCCCUUGUGUCUUUGUCAUAAUUUUCCAGAGGUCUUCUCAGUCAAUAUGGGUUCAGUUUACAUAAUCCUGUCAACUGAAUAAAGUAAAUAUGUAUUAGGCUUCUGAGUAAAGUGUAAUCAUAAGCAUUGCAUUGAUAUAAGAUAUAUAAACUCAAGGAUAUAAAGAAACAAUUUUUUUGUUCGUUUUGUUUUGGUUUUGUUUUAAGUCAAAGGAAAGGUGUGGUUCAGGAGUGAUAAAUUGCAGCCUGGUGAUCAAGAAGAUUUAAAAUUUAUCUCAACUUUACUAAAGUCUUCCUGACUAUAGGCCCCUGACCAAUCUUUUCUUGGAGCACUUACUUCAGAAAAAUUGCAAAUGUUAAUUUUUUAUUUGCUGAUGAUGUAAUAUCUGUCUCAAGUAUCUGGGAAUCAUCAAUUUGAAAAGUAAUAGGAAAGAAAGAACCCUUGUCUCCUAGUUUCAGUGAAAUGAUAGGAGUUGUAGAUAAAUACCAACUAGCAACACAAAUGGCCUAAUAACAUUGCACAACCUAUUUGAUAACAUCAUUGUCUUCCAGUACUUUUCCAGUAGCUUCCCCUGGUGCUUAAGAAUUUACCCAACUUCUGUUUGAGUGGAGUGGAGUCAUUCUUUCUCCUUCACAAUAGUGUUGAAUAAA
rnacentral:lncRNA from 1 species